UGGCGGCAGUAGCGCGGUGGUCCCACCUGACCCCAUGCCGAACUCAGAAGUGAAACGCCGUAGCGCCGAUGGUAGUGUGGGGUCUCCCCAUGCGAGAGUAGGGAACUGCCAGACGU
rnacentral:rRNA from 1 species